CACGUAGGGGGCGAGCGUUGUCCGGAUUUAUUGGGCGUAAAGGGCUCGUAGGCGGCUCAGUAAGUCGGGUGUGAAACCUCCAGGCUCAACCUGGAGACGCGACUCGAUACUGCUGUGGCUAGAGUCCGGUAGGGGAGCAUGGAAUUCCUGGUGUAGCGGUGAAAUGCGCAGAUAUCAGGAGGAACACCAGUGGCGAAGGCGGUGCUCUGGGCCGGAACUGACGCUGAUGAGCGAAAGCGUGGGGAGCAAACAGG
rnacentral:rRNA from 1 species